GGGGCCUUAGCUCAACUGGGAGAGCGCCUGCUUUGCAAGCAGAGGUCAUCGGUUCGAUCCCGAUAGGCUCCA
rnacentral:tRNA from 1 species